rnacentral:lncRNA from 1 species
GGAUGGUAGAGGAUAGGAAAGGUAGCAGAAUACAACAGUUACUAAUAGGGCAUUAUGUAAAAAUGUGGAUGUGUAACCGAUGUGAUUCUGCAACUGUAUUUGGGGUAAAAUUGGGAGUUCAUAACCAACUUGAAUCUAAUGUAUGAAAUAUGAUAUGUCAAGAGCUUUAUAAUGUUUUGAACAACCAAUAAAAAAAAACACCACAUGAAAAUAAAAAUAAAAAAAAAUAAGUUAUACUCAUUACAUUUACUCAAAUAAAAAAAAAAGCACAAAAUCAUGGCAUUUGCAGGUAAAUGGAUGGUGUUGGAGAAGAUAAUGCUAAGUGAAGUUAGCCAAUGCCCCCCAAAAACAAAUGCUGAAUGUUGUCUCUGAUAUAAGGGGGUUGACUCAGAGUUGGGUAGAGAGAGAGAACAUGGGAGGAUUAGAUUAAUUCUAGAUAGAGAAGAAGGGUGGGAGGGGAAAAGGAGGGGGCAGGGUAUUAGCAAGAAGAGUGGAAUGUGAUGGACAUCAUUAUCCAAAGUACAUGUAUGAAGACUUGAAUUGGGUGUCAACAUACUGUAUAUACAAACAGAUAUAUGAAAAAAUUGUGGUAUAUAUGUGUAUUCAGAAUUGUAAUAAAAAACCAAAGUACAUGUAUAAAUGCAUAAAUUGGCGUGCACAUACUUUAUAUAUAGAGAUACAAAAAACUGUGCUCUAUAUGUGUAAAAAGAAUUGUAAUGCAUUCCACUGC